CACACACUUCCGUGUUGUCUGUCACCGUAAAGCAGGAAGCACUGUAGUAAUGUGUAGGAGGUUAUCUGGCCAGCUUGCUGUUUAACGUUACCUACAGGUGAAGUCAGACAGCAGGAGAAGCUACAUGGAGGCUAACUAACACAGGACCAAUCGGUGCUCAGCAAAACAGAGGAACUGCGGUACAUUAGCACCAGGAUGCCAGCCGAUGGAUUUUAUAUCAAAAGUACAGCCGGGAACGUCUGACCACAGAAACCACUGUUAAGUAUUUAAACUGGCGCAAGGUCCGUUGCCCAAAAUCCCCCCCAGACACAUGAACG
rnacentral:lncRNA from 1 species